AGAAGUUGGUGAAAAUAUAUGACAGAUAUUUGACUGUUGACUGAUCAUUUCUUUAACAAGUCAAUCUCCAUGGACAUGUUUUGUUAAAUGAGGGAUUAUUGCCACAUCACUUAUUCCCAUAGAAUGAUUCUGGCAAUAAAAUGGAGGUGAUUGACAUCCAAGAACCCAUACAGGAC